rnacentral:rRNA from 1 species
UACACACGGAUAACAUACCGAAAGGUAUGCUAAUACGGGAUAAUAUAUUUGAGAGGCAUCUCUUGAAUAUCAAAGGUGAGCCAGUACAGGAUGGACCCGCGUCUGAUUAGCUAGUUGGUAAGGUAAAGGCUUACCAAGGCGACGAUCAGUAGCCGACCUGAGAGGGUGAUCGGCCACAUUGGAACUGAGACACGGUCCAAACUCCUACGGGAGGCAGCAGUGGGGAAUAUUGCACAAUGGGCGAAAGCCUGAUGCAGCAACGCCGCGUGAGUGAUGAAGGCCUUCGGGUCGUAAAACUCUGUCCUCAAGGAAGAUAAUGACGGUACUCGAGGAGGAAGCCCCGGCUAACUACGUGCCAGCAGCCGCGGUAAUACGUAGGGGGCUAGCGUUAUCCGGAUUUACUGGGCGUAAAGGGUGCGUAGGCGGUCUUUCAAGUCAGGAGUGAAAGGCUACGGCUCAACCGUAGUAAGCUCUUGAAACUGGGAGACUUGAGUGCAGGAGGGGAGAGUGGAAUUCCUAGUGUAGCGGUGAAAUGCGUAGAUAUUAGGAGGAACACCAGUUGCGAAGGCGGCUCUCUGGACUGUAACUGACGCUGAGGCACGAAAGCGUGGGGAGCAAACAGGAUUAGAUACCCUGGUAGUCCACGCUGUAAACGAUGAGUACUAGGUGUCGGGGGUUACCCCCUUCGGUGCCGCAG